rnacentral:rRNA from 1 species
GUGCCAGCCGCCGCGGUAAUACGUAGGUGGCAAGCGUUGUCCGGAUUUAUUGGGCGUAAAGCGAGCGCAGGCGGUUUUUUAAGUCUGAUGUGAAAGCCUUCGGCUCAACCGAAGAAGUGCAUCGGAAACUGGGAAACUUGAGUGCAGAAGAGGACAGUGGAACUCCAUGUGUAGCGGUGAAAUGCGUAGAUAUAUGGAAGAACACCAGUGGCGAAGGCGGCUGUCUGGUCUGUAACUGACGCUGAGGCUCGAAAGUAUGGGUAGCAAACAGGAUUAGAUACCCUGGUAGUCCAUACCGUAAACGAUGAAUGCUAAGUGUUGGAGGGUUUCCGCCCUUCAGUGCUGCAGCUAACGCAUUAAGCAUUCCGCCUGGGGAGUACGGCCGCAAGGCUGAAACUCAAAGGAAUUGACGGGGGCCCGCACAAGCGGUGGAGCAUGUGGUUUAAUUCGAAGCUACGCGAAGAACCUUACCAGGUCUUGACAUACUAUGCAAAUCUAAGAGAUUAGACGUUCCCUUCGGGGACAUGGAUACAGGUGGUGCAUGGUUGUCGUCAGCUCGUGUCGUGAGAUGUUGGGUUAAGUCCCGCAACGAGCGCAACCCUUAUUAUCAGUUGCCAGCAUUAAGUUGGGCACUCUGGUGAGACUGCCGGCGACAAACCGGAGGAAGGUGGGGAUGACGUCAAAUCAUCAUGCCCCUUAUGACCUGGGCUACACACGUGCUACAAUGGAUGGUACAACGAGUUGCGAACUCGCGAGAGUAAGCUAAUCUCUUAAAGCCAUUCUCAGUUCGGAUUGUAGGCUGCAACUCGCCUACAUGAAGUCGGAAUCGCUAGUAAUCGCGGAUCAGCAUGCCGCGGUGAAUACGUUCCCGGGCCUUGUACACACCGCCCGU